UACGUAGGGUGCAAGCGUUGUCCGGAAUUAUUGGGCGUAAAGAGCUUGUAGGCGGUUUGUCGCGUCUGCUGUGAAAUUUCGGGGCUCAACCCCGAACUUGCAGUGGGUACGGGCAGACUAGAGUGUGGUAGGGGAGACUGGAAGUUCCUGGUGUAGCGGUGAAAUGCGCAGAUAUCAGGAGGAACACCCGUAGCGAAGGCGGCACUCUGGGCCGAUACUGACACUGAGGAGCGAAAGCGUGGGGAGCGAACAGG
rnacentral:rRNA from 1 species